rnacentral:rRNA from 1 species
AAGUAUCCCGCCUGGGGAGUACGCACGCAAGUGUGAAACUCAAAGGAAUUGACGGGGGCCCGCACAAGCGGUGGAGUAUGUGGUUUAAUUCGAUGCAACGCGAAGAACCUUACCAGGGCUUGACAUCCCCCGAAUCCUCUUGAAAGGGAGGAGUGCCUUCGGGAGCGGGGAGACAGGUGGUGCAUGGCUGUCGUCAGCUCGUGUCGUGAGAUGUUGGGUUAAGUCCCGCAACGAGCGCAACCCACGUCCUUAGUUGCCAUCAUUAAGUUGGGCACUCUGGGGAGACUGCCGGGGACAACUCGGAGGAAGGUGUGGAUGACGUCAAGUCAUCAUGCCCCUUACGUUCUGGGCUACACACGUACUACAAUGCUUCGGACAAAGGGCAGCCAGCCGGCGACGGUGAGCUAAUCCCAUAAACCGAGGCACAGUUCAGAUUGCAGGCUGCAACUCGCCUGCAUGAAGGAGGAAUCGCUAGUAAUCGCAGGUCAGCAUACUGCGGUGAAUACGUUCCCGGGCCUUGUACACACCGCCCGUCACACCAUGGGAGUUGGCCACGCCCGAAGUCGUUACUCUAACCUUAGGGAGGAGGGCGCCGAAGGCAGGGCUGAUGACUGGGGUGAAGUCGUAACAAGGUAGCCGUACCGGAAGGUGUGGCUGGAUCACCUCCUUUUUAGGGAGA